AGGGUUUGAUCAUGGCUCAGGAUGAACGCUGGCGGUCGGCCUAACACAUGCAAGUCGAACGGGCUCUUCGGAGCUAGUGGCGGACGGGUGAGUAACGCGUGAGAAUCUGCCCUCAGGAUGGGGACAACGGUUGGAAACGACCGCUAAUACCCGAUAAGCCGAAAGGUAAAAGAUUUAUCGUCUGAGGAGGAGCUCGCGUCUGAUUAGCUAGUAGGUGUGGUAAGAGCGCACCUAGGCAUCGAUCAGUAGCUGUUCUGAGAGGAAGAGCAGCCACACUGGGACUGAGACACGGCCCAGACUCCUACGGGAGGCAGCAGUGGGGAAUUUUCCGCAAUGGGCGCAAGCCUGACGGAGCCAGACCGCGUGAGGGAAGAAAGACCUUGGUUCGUAAACCUCUUUUCUCAAGGAAGAAUUUUGACGGUACUUGAGGAAUCAGCAUCGGCUAACUCCGUGCCAGCCGCCGCGGUAAUAC
rnacentral:rRNA from 1 species